CAACACAAUAACACACACUGGACUCUACCAACACACACUGGACUCUACCAACACACACUGGACUCUACCAACACAAUAACACACACUGUACUCUACCAACACACACUGUACUCUACCAACACACACUGGACUCUACCAACACACACUGGACUCUAUCAACACAAUAACACACACUGGACUCUACCAACACAAUAACACACUGGACUCUACCGACACAAUAACACACUGGACUCUACCAACACACACUGGACUCUACCAACACAAUAACACACUGGACUCUACCAACACAAUAACACACACUGGACUCUACCAACACACACUGGACUCUACCAACACAAUAACACACUGGACUCUACCAACACAAUAACACACACUGGACUCUACCAACACAAUAACACACUGGACUCCACCAACACAAUAACACACACUGGACUCUACCAACACAAUAACACACACUGUACUCUAUCAACACAAUAACACACUGGACUCUACCAACACAAUAACACACACUGUACUCUAUCAACACAAUAACACACACUGGACUCUACCAACACAAUAACACACUGGACUCUACCAACACAAUAACACACACUGGACUCUACCAACACAAUAUGUCCCUCAUACACAAUAACUAAACCAGUAUGUCCCUCAUACACAAUAACUAAACUAGUAUGUCCCUCAUACACAAUAACUAAACUAGUAUGUCUCUCAUACACAAUAACUAAACUACUAUGUCCCUCAUACACAAUAACUAAACUACUAUGUUCCUCAUACACAAUAACUCAACUAGUAUGUCCCUCAUACACAAUAACUAAACUGGUAUGUUCCUCAUACACAAUAACUAAACUAGUAUGUCCCUCAUACACAAUAACUAAACUACUAUGUCCCUCAUACACAAUAACUAAACUAGUAUGUCCCUCAUCCACAAUAACUCAACUAUGUUAGACCCUCUGUGUGGAUGUCAACCAACAUGUAGCUGGCUAGCACACUGGACUCUACCAACACAAUAACACAAACUUAGACUAACACUGCAACAUACAGGCACACUACAUAUGCUCACACACACACGUAUGCUCACACACACACACACAACACACGCACACGGAUAGUGAUGCCACUCACACACAGACAGAGUCUUUCACACUCUCCAGACACGUUGCUACUGUUUAUAAUCUAUCCUGACGCCUAGUCACUUCUACCCAUACCUACAUGUACACAUUACCUCAAAUACCUCAACUACCUCGUACCCUUGCACAUUGACUCUGUACCGGAACUCCUUGUAUAUAGCAUUUUUAUUGCUAUUUAUCAGGUAACUGUUUUAUAUAUUUUUUAUUUGCAAAUGCUUUUACUUUUUAACUCUGCAUUGUUGGGAAUGGGCUCGUAAGUAAGCAUUUUCCUGUGAAGUCUAAACCUGUUGUAUUCGGUGCAGGUGAACAAUACAAUGUGAUGUGAGUUGAUGUACUAUACCUCGUGUAAAAAAAACUAAAACAGAGUAGACAUUUAUAUCUGAGACUGACUAAAACACAGAACCAUCCCUGUAUGGGUUAUCAGGUUUAAUCAACAAGACAGGGUCAAAGUUAUCAGGUUUAAUAGGCAAGACAGGGCCAAAGUUAUCAGGUUUAAUCAACAAGACAGGGUCAAAGUUAUCAGGUUUAACCAACAAGACAGGGCCAAAGUUAUCAGGUUUAAUAAGCAAGACAGGGUCAAAGUUAUCAGGUUUAAUAGGCAAGACAGGGUCAAAGUUAUCAGGUUUAACCGGCAAGACAGGGUCAAAGUUAUCAGGUUUAACCGGCAAGACAGGGUCAAAGUUAUCAGGUUUAACCGGCAAGACAGGGUCAAAGUUAUCAGGUUUAACCAACAAGACAGGGUCAAAGUUAUCAGGUUUAACCAACAAGACAGGGUCAAAGUUAUCAGGUUUAACCAACAAGACAGGGUCAAAGUUAUCAGGUUUAACCAACAAGACAGGGUCAAA